rnacentral:rRNA from 1 species
AUUGAACGCUGGCGGCAUGCCUUACACAUGCAAGUCGAACGGUAACGGGCCUUCGGGUGCCGACGAGUGGCGAACGGGUGAGUAAUGUAUCGGAACGUACCUUUCAGUGGGGGAUAACGUAGCGAAAGUUACGCUAAUACCGCAUAUUCUGUGAGCAGGAAAGCAGGGGAUCGCAAGACCUUGCGCUGAUUGAGCGGCCGAUAUCAGAGUAGCUAGUUGGUGAGGUAAAGGCUCACCAAGGCGACGAUCUGUAGCGGGUCUGAGAGGAUGAUCCGCCACACUAGAACUGAGACACGGUCCAGACUCCUACGGGAGGCAGCAGUGGGGAAUUUUGGACAAUGGGGGCAACCCUGAUCCAGCCAUGCCGCGUGAGUGAAGAAGGCCUUCGGGUUGUAAAGCUCUUUCGGCCGGGAAGAAAUCGUAUCAGCUAAUACCUGGUGCGGAUGACGGUACCGGCAUAAGAAGCACCGGCUAACUACGUGCCAGCCGCCGCGGUAAGAC